rnacentral:rRNA from 1 species
AGCGGAUCCCAUCAGAACUCCGCAGUUAAGCGUGCUUGGGCGAGAGUAGUACUAGGAUGGGUGACCUCCUGGGAAGUCCUCGUGUUGCACCAC